GACGAACGCUGGCGGCGUGCUUAACACAUGCAAGUCGAACGGAAAGGCCCUGCUUUUGUGGGGUGCUCGAGUGGCGAACGGGUGAGUAACACGAGAGUAACCUGCCCUUCACUUUGGGAUAACUUAAGGAAACUGGGGCUAAUACCGGAUAGGAGCUCCUGCUGCAUGGUGGGGGUUGGAAAGUUUCGGCUGUUGGGGAUGGACUCGCGGCUUAUCAGCUUGUUGGUGGGGUAGUGGCUUACCAAGGCUUCGACGGGUAGCCGGCCUGAGAGGGUGACCGGCCACAUUGGGACUGAGAUACGGGCCAGACGCCUAGGGGAGGGAGCAGUGGGGAAUAUUGCACAAUGGGCGGGAGCCUGAUGCAGCAACGCCGCGUGCGGGAUGACGGCCUUCGGGUUGUAAACCGCUUUCGCCUGUGACGAAGCGUGAGUGACGGUAAUGGGUAAAGAAGCACCGGCUAACUACGUG
rnacentral:rRNA from 1 species